GCCCUCAUAGCUCAAUUGGUAGAGCAGUUCCCUUUUAAGGAAUUGGUUCUGAGUUCGAGUCUCAGUGAGGGCACCA
rnacentral:tRNA from 2 species